rnacentral:rRNA from 1 species
AGCGUGGAGCAUGUGGUUUAAUUCGAAGCAACGCGAAGAACCUUACCAGGCCUUGACAUGCAGAGAACUUUCAGAGAUGGAUUGGUGCCUUCGGGAACUCUGACACAGGUGCUGCAUGGCUGUCGUCAGCUCGUGUCGUGAGGUGUUGGGUUUAAGUCCCGUAACGAGCGCAACCCUUGUCCUUAGUUACCAGCACGUUAUGGUGGGCACUCUAAGGAGACUGCCGGUGACAAACCGGAGGAAGGUGGGGAUGACGUCAAGUCAUCAUGGCCCUUACGGCCUGGGCUACACACGUGCUACAAUGGUCGGUACAAAGGGUUGCCAAGCCGCGAGGUGGAGCUAAUCCCAUAAAACCGAUCGUAGUCCGGAUCGCAGUCUGCAACUCGACUGCGUGAAGUCGGAAUCGCUAGUAAUCGUGAAUCAGAAUGUCACGGUGAAUACGUUCCCGGGCCUU